rnacentral:rRNA from 1 species
GACGAACGCUGGCGGCGUGCUUAACACAUGCAAGUCGAACGGAAAGGCCCCUUUGGGGGUCCUCGAGUGGCGAACGGGUGAGUAACACGUGAGUAACCUGCCCUUGACUUCGGGAUAACUUCAGGAAACUGGGGCUAAUACCGGAUAGGAAUCCUUGCUGCAUGGUGGGGGUUGGAAAGCUUCGGCGGUUUUGGAUGGACUCGCGGCUUAUCAGCUUGUUGGUGGGGUAGUGGCUUACCAAGGCUUUGACGGGUAGCCGGCCUGAGAGGGCGACCGGCCACAUUGGGACUGAGAGACGGCCCAGACUCCUACGGGAGGCAGCAGGGGGGAAUAUUGCACAAUGGGCGGAAGCCUGAUGCAGCAACGCCGCGUGCGGGAUGACGGCCUUCGGGUUGUAAACCGCUUUCAGCAGGGGCGAAGCUUGUGGUGACGGUACCUGCAGAAGAAGCACCGGCUAACUACGUG